rnacentral:rRNA from 1 species
CACGUAGGGGACGAGCGUUGUCCGGAUUCAUUGGGCGUAAAGAGCUCGUAGGCGGCUUGUUGCGUCUGCCGUGAAAAUUCACAGCUUAACUGUGGACGUGCGGUGGAUACGGGCAGGCUUGGAGUUCGGUAGGGGAGACUGGAAUUCCUGGUGUAGCGGUGAAAUGCGCAGAUAUCAGGAGGAACGCCAAUGGCGAAGGCAAGUCUCUGGACAGUUCCUGACGGCUCAUGCACGAAGGCCCAGGGGAGCAAACGGG